AUUGAACGCUGGCGACAUGCCUUACACAUGCAAGUCGAACGGCAGCACGGGUGCUUGCACCUGGUGGCGAGUGGCGAACGGGUGAGUAAUACAUCGGAACAUGUCCUGUAGUGGGGGAUAGCCCGGCGAAAGCCGGAUUAAUACCGCAUACGAUCUACGGAUGAAAGCGGGGGACCUUCGGGCCUCGCGCUAUAGGGUUGGCCGAUGGCUGAUUAGCUAGUUGGUGGGGUAAUGGCCUACCAAGGCGACGAUCAGUAGCUGGUCUGAGAGGACGACCAGUCACACUGGGACUGAGACACGGCCCAGACUCCUACGGGAGGCAGCAGUGGGGAAUUUUGGACAAUGGGCGAAAGCCUGAUCCAGCAAUGCCGCGUGUGUGAAGAAGGCCUUCGGGUUGUAAAGCACUUUUGUCCGGAAAGAAAUCCUUGGCCCUAAUACGGUCGGGGGAUGACGGUACCGGAAGAAUAAGCACCGGCUAACUACGUG
rnacentral:rRNA from 1 species